GUAUAGAAAAGAAAGGCCUGAAAAUUUCCAGCCGGCUCAAUUGAAAUCUCAAUGAAAUGGAGAAAAUUUCCUCCAGCCGGCUAAAUUGAAAUCUCCAUUUCCACUCAUUUUCUCCAAAAUUUUUAACUUCCAUCUCCACCCAUUUCGAGUCCCAGAAGGGAGAAAGCAACCUCCGGCUAGCACAUGCUUGAAGUACUCCGACCACAAGCGAGCUCAAGCGCACUCGGUGCUCAUCUUUACGGAGUCCACAAAUCCCUUUCGAGAUCAUCUUAGUCCUGUCUAAAUGGGCAGUUGUCAAAGAAGAUUCAACCAGCCAAUCGUCUAGAGCUAGUGCUUCCUCGAUUAACUUUGUGACGAAUGAAACAUCUGAACAUAUAUUACAUAUGUUUCAAUCUCAAGUUCGUAUCUCUGCGGAAGAAGAUCUACAUAUUACGGUGAACGCGAAGGUGUGCAAGGAAUCAUCGAAGUGAAUUUUGAAGGGAAGGGGCCGACCUGAAUAGUAGCUGUCAGUAGAAGUAGUAGUUAUUGCAUAAUCUUUUGUAUGAGGUCGAACUAUGUUGAGCGAAGGCCUGUAAACUAUGUUUGUAAAUUCUACUAAUUUAUGAAAUGCUAUGUUUUAACUCUUAUUUCGAA